rnacentral:rRNA from 1 species
CCCUUAGAGUUUGAUCCUGGCUCAGGACGAACGCUGGCGGCGCGCCUAACACAUGCAAGUCGAACGAGAGAUGAGGAGCUUGCUCUUCAAAUCGAGUGGCGAACGGGUGAGUAACGCGUGAGGAACCUGCCUCAAAGAGGGGGACAACAGUUGGAAACGACUGCUAAUACCGCAUAAGCCCACGGCUCGGCAUCGAGCAGAGGGAAAAGGAGUGAUCCGCUUUGAGAUGGCCUCGCGUCCGAUUAGCUAGUUGGUGAGGUAACGGCCCACCAAGGCGACGAUCGGUAGCCGGACUGAGAGGUUGAACGGCCACAUUGGGACUGAGACACGGCCCAGACUCCUACGGGAGGCAGCAGUGGGGAAUAUUGCACAAUGGGGGAAACCCUGAUGCAGCGACGCCGCGUGGAGGAAGAAGGUCUUCGGAUUGUAAACUCCUGUUGUUGAGGAAGAUAAUG